rnacentral:lncRNA from 1 species
AGCUCUUUCAGCAGUUCCAGCAAUGACCGUGAGCAAGUUGUUGCCAAAAGGAUCGCUCAGGUGCUUCGAAAGGUUCUCCACCGGACCUUCUCCGGUCACAUAAGCUUGUAAGAAGAAACCGAGCAUGGCGAACAUCGCGAGUCUACCGUUUUUUAUCUCUUUCACCUUCAGCAAAGCAGCCUGGUCUGGAUCCUUGGCUAACCCAAGUGGGUCAAAUGGUCCCCCAGGGUGAAGCUUGUCCUCCAAAUCCUAU